CUGUUAUCUCGCUCUGUUUAACCAUUGACUUCUACCGUACUACAACCUAACUGUCGGUGCUUUCCGCGGGACUUACGCAGUGUUUUUUUGGCGACAUGUCAACAAAGCAGCCAGUGCAUCCCUUCUAGUUGAAGAUGGCAUUCCACCGCUAACGAUCAGCAAUAUAUUGACGGAUAUAGACGAUCAGAAAAGUCUUCGAUGCAGGAAUGGUGUUCUCUUAUGGAGCUUGUCGUCUUCGCAUCACCCGCUAGCUAAUCAUGAGGGGGCUUACUAUGGCUGUCGAUUAAACUGGCGACAAAGAACGACAUCGAGGCUAAGAAAGCUCUCCGAGAAGUGCCUAGCCCUGAAAAGGCAGGCGAUUACACUGCCCUUUUCCUUUUAGGGGCGAGCGCAACUACGAGUUAUUGUAGUUAACGGCAACUAUUCAGCGUAAUGGCAUCACUGACAGUACGUGUCAAGAUUAACGAAGUGUCGCAGUACGAAGCGGGAGAAGGCGUUUCUGGUGGCAUUGUGAGCUGCCAAUGGUUGCAUUACGGAGCUGUCGCCAGCGUAACUGGGCAUGGGCACUGCAAUGGACUGCUGUACAGAAAUCGCUAUCAAUACGUACUCAUACUGCGUCGAUGAGAUGAGUCGAGGUCAGCUGCAGAGUAUUGGCUAUAGUCCGCAACGUAAUUAUCGUAUAUCCGUAGACCGUAUCGAUAUUGCUGUUGCAUGAACCUCUGACCCACUUAUCCUUUUACACCUUAACCUCACGCCGUAGAUGAAUGCCUCCGCGUGGUCGGCCCCACGAUAUGUGUUAGCACGCUACUGGGCUAUAAUCAACAUACCUGUUUAUACGAGACGCAACGUACGAUCCACACGGAUAAUUUCAAUGUAAAAUUCCCUGGUCUUUAAACUCUGCCAUGUGGAAACUUCGUAGAAGAUGGCCAGGCAAAAUCCAAAGCUCUUCAUA